UACGUAGGGUGCGAGCGUUAAUCGGAAUUACUGGGCGUAAAGCGUGCGCAGACGGCUUUGCAAGACAGAUGUGAAAUCCCCGGGCUCAACCUGGGAACUGCAUUUGUGACUGCAAGGCUAGAGUACGGCAGAGGGGGAUGGAAUUCCGCGUGUAGCAGUGAAAUGCGUAGAUAUGCGGAGGAACACCGAUGGCGAAGGCAAUCCCCUGGGCCUGUACUGACGCUCAUGCACGAAAGCGUGGGGAGCAAACAGG
rnacentral:rRNA from 1 species